UGACCAUUUAAUGGCUUUCCUAAGCCCUUCAAUUGUUUUAUAGAUACUAAAUUCCACUGCAGAAAAGGUCAUGAAAGACGUUUUGUGCAACUUAAAUUGUGCAAUCAUCAGUUUUACAGAUACAAUAGCCGCUGGGGGGAGUUGAUUUUUCUUUAGGGGUACAGAGGACUUUUAAUUAGUGCUGUGCUGUAGUUGGCCUCCAGGAAACAAAACCAACCACGUUCUCCAAGUGCGCAAGUGUAUUCACUGAGAAUGAAUCAGCAGCAGGAGGAUACAUCCUGAGCACCAAUGCUAGCUAAAUGCUAAAUGUUAAAUGCUACCAGUGAUUUUAGCUAAACACGAGUCGGUGUUACAUGCGUUGUACCAUUAUUGUUUGAUGGUUAUCAGUGUUAAAGUGACGUCAUCGCAUUAGGAGAAUUUAGCAUGCAUGGUCAGAGGUGGAACCAGUUGGAAACAUUUGCAAAAUGUAGCAGCUAUCAUGACAAUCGCAGGCAAAUUCACUCACUCGCCAUAAGAACUGUGGAGACAGUGCACUAGAUGAAAAGUUCCCUCAUUAGUAUUUGUUGCUGGUCAUCAUCACUGGGGUACUGAACAGGCUUCAGUUCACUAGGUAGCCCUCUAUUUAUUAGCCUGACAUAUUUCAGUCAAAGGUGUCCUUCACUUUCAGGAGCUUAAAGUGGAGAAAGUUUAACCCAACCACUUUGUGUCAUGAGCAGUAAUUUUGCCCGCAUCUCUUGAAUUAGGUUUCUAGCUGAUUUUCUGUGGUCUCUGGUUGCCACGUUGCUGCAACUCACUUUGUGGAAUUCCUUUAACAGAAAGCCUUAGGACCAGCGCUAGGUUGCGCUGUAACUUCAGCAUAUUAUCUGAAUUUGAUCAAUUGGGGUUAAUAACAUUUGGAAAGACUAGAAGGCAUAUAUCUAUUUUCUUUUAUUCCAUUUCUGUGUUUAGGAAACCCACAAGAAACGUGUGAGCUAGGCUGGCAGGAGUCCUGUGCACAUGCUCUCCAUCAGCUCAACUGAUGAUUUUAAUGACAUAAAAGCAUAAAAGAUGGGUGAAUCUUCCAGGUCUCAAAAGUGAAGCCAACACGAUAGUGUCUCAAACCUGCAUUAUUUUAAUGGCCGAUAGAGGGCGACUUCUCUGGUUUCAAAAACACUUCUAGUUCAAUUGAACUCUAUGGGGAAAACAGCCGUCCACUUCUGAACUUUGCAACGCUUUCUUUUUGACUUUAUGGGCUUAAUCACUACUUUCACGUCACAUUGAAUGAAAAAUGAAGUCCAUUUUGUACUAUGUGGUCUUAGAAUGGCCAGUAUAGUCAUUCUAAUCUAAGAGACAGGAAGUAGGAUUAUCCAGUUGUGUGGGAAUUGGCCAAUAACUCAGUCACAAAUUAUGCUAGUCAGUGAGUUUGGACCAUAGGUGCAACUGAGCAACUUUCAUUCUAGUCUGACUCCUCUUAAUGUGUGCGGGGUCCAUGGUCUUUCAUAAGAGUAAAAACUAAAACCAUUAUGUUUAAAGGCACUCAGUGACAAUGUAAAUGUGCUGACGUUUAGCCAAAGUAAUUUUCACCACCUUACUUUAUCGUCUUAGCAUGCACGCAUCAAGUUUCAUGCCAGCUGUUGUACUGCAGGCUUUGCGGAAGUGCGGGAUCAACAGAAUGACAGACUGACAAACUGACACUGGCAUCUCUGGAAACAAGCCACUAGCAGUUAGGAAAAAAGUUUCUGAAUGAAGUCAGUGAAGAGGACGUGCAGUACGAGUCCCCGGGCCACCCUCAGGAGUACUCGCAGUGUUAACUGUUCACUAUGACUGCCACAGCGUCAAAAUUGAAACUGAAUUGCUUAUUUGUUCCAUUGCGUGCCACUCCCUCCACGAAAAGUGACUCUGUAUUUUUAUGUUAACAAAGCCAGCCAGUGUUGAGUCUCCCGGCUCUUUUGCUGUGCCACUCUUUCCUAUAUCUCCACUUCUUUUUUUUGUCUUUCCUGACUCGUCUGUCCUCUCCACCCUCUCCCUUGGUCAGAUCAGACUGUCCUGCAUUCCUGACAUUCCUGCUGCGUAUGUUAGAAAUUCCAUCUGGCUGCUGUGGGCUCGCAUAGUCUCCUCCACUCCUUUUUUUCCAUCGCUCUGUUCCUUACCCAUCGCCUGUCUCUCUACUCAUCUACAUCUGGACUGUCCAGGCUGAGGCUUCACUGUCAGGUUUGACCCUCCCCACCCCCUUCUCUUUAUUUCUGGCUGCAUCAUCCAAGAAAGGGAGGCAGACAGAACCGGGGGGUUUUGUCGAAGGCCUUGAGACAGGCUUAUAUACAGAUAACAAACAGCCUAAUACAAAAAGGAUUGAGUUUAUCUGGGACCGUCGAUGUGCAUUCUCUGCCACAGCAAAAUGGGAUAAGAAAAAGGAAAAACACAGUGGAGUUGAAUGGGCAGGACGUGAAAUAGAAAUGAUGGUUGUAAACAGGACGGUGUAAAUGAACCAUGUACAAACCGAGGAACUGCUGACAUUUUAACUCUUUAGGAGGUUUUCUUAUCAGACUUUAGCCCACAAUUAUGCUAAACAGAAAGAGAAGAGAAGAGAAGAGAAGAGAAGAGAAGAGAAGAGAAGAGAAGAGAAGAGAAGUUACAUGAUAUGUGGGUGGGACAUUUUGCUGAAGGUGAGGAAGAGAAAACACAAAAACAUACAGUGCAAAGUUGAGACUAGGUGAGACAGACAGAGACCUCUUACCAUGCUUUGAGCCUACUUCUUUGACCUCUACGCUCAGGGUCGAGAUAAGAUUACUUCGAUCAUGACUGUGACUUUGCUGCAGUUAUCUCCACGUUUGGAGAGACAGCGACGGGGGUUUGAAUGCUGCUACACCUCAGUGACUGAAAACGGAGGAUAAUUAAACGUUAUGCAUCUGUUGCAUAUAUCAAUUCAGGUGCAUUCCUUUGCUGUGGGUGUGGCCCUGCUUGAGAGUGUUUACUGUCCCAGAUUGUAGUCUGUAAUACAGAGUGAACAUUUCAGACUGGGAAUGGGGACAAAGACAGAGAAAGGGCGGUGGCUUUGGCAGCGCUCUUCAUAGAGCAGAGGGCCCGUUCUUACACUCUGCUGAUCUCCGUUUGCCGGACUUUAAAGGCUAUCUGACUUUAACCCUGAGAUCACCACGAAUAAGGAGUGUAGGCUGUUUUAUUUGCUAACAGGAGUGUCUGAAUGCCACUCUGAAUUCAUGACACUGCCUGGAAAUGGUAAUGUGCAGCAUGAGGCCUGUAAGCCUGUCCUCAGGCAGUCUGUGCCAUUUUGUUUUAAAGCGCUGGAUCUUUUCUUUCUUUUUUCUUUAGUGAACCUACAUAACACAUCCCUUCUUGCCCCAUCCUCCCUUUACAAGGCACGCAGUAGGAAUGAAGGGUGUAGCCCAAGUUGAGCAAGAUGGCUUCACUUCUGCAAAUGAAGGCAGCAACACAGCACAGGGGGAGGUUGCUUUUUUUCCUUUCUUUCUUUUCUUUUUUGCCUGGAUGCAAAGGAAACAACACAGAUGAGUUGCUUUUUAACGGACAUCUUGUCAUUGCCAUGUGAUUCUCACUGACAGGGCAGCUUAUGUCACACUCUGGGUUGCAAUGGCACAAAUGCAGCUCGUGACAGUCUAUUGCGCAUUCCUACCGGCACACUGAACUCUGGCUGCACAAUUAUGUAAGACAUUCUCCAUCGAUGUAACAGACACUACAGCAAGCUUUGCCCUCUAACCAUUUAUCCCAUGCAUAUUUGCACUUUGCUUUUAAGAUGUUUUAUACAAAUGAGGCAGGCUGAAGGGAAACCCUAUACAUAUACAUAUAUAUAUAUAUAUAUAUAUAUAUAUAUGAGAUGAGGAGACUGGAGGGCCUGGGCAGCAAGGCCUACAUACGCUUUGUUGCGUCAGCAGCUUAAAGAAUGUUAUCCUGCUCCUUAUAAACAUCCAGAGUUACAAAGUCGUGUUUAUAAACUCAUCUUCCACUUGAAGAAUCUUCCCAUCUGUGCCAGAUGACGGCGGGUGUCACUGCAUUUCUGAGAAAUGACUCGGCCUCGGUUAUCCUGGUUUUCACCUAUCCCCUACUUGAGCGCAGGCUUUUUCCUUGGCCUGCUAUGAACUCAGCAGAUUUUAAAAAGGCUUUGAGUGCUGACACUUUUUAAUGUGAAGUUUUAACGCAGACAUGUUGCUGUAGCCUCCAAAUCCAGCUUUUGAUUUGGAUGGAUGCGCUUUAGUUUUACACUCAUGGCAGACGUGUUAAACAUCAAUAUUAAUUUAAAAAAAAAAAAAAACAACAGCUCUGAACAUUUUCACUAAGGCUGUCUGUGUGCUUGUAGAGGCUUUUUUUGCUCUCUUCUGUAUUAAUGUAGGACUAAAGAUGACUAAUAUAAUAUUUGCACAUUUAUGCAGUAUUACAGCUGCUGGCUGUAAAUAAAUAAAAUAAAUGGAAAGCUCUUGCCCACCUAUGGAAAUUAAGUUCUUAUGGUGGGAUGGCCAAAUGUCAGAUUUCUUUUUUUUUUUUUUCUUUUUUUUUUUUUUUUAAAUGAAAUGUCAGAUUUCUAAGGUGCUCAUAAAUCCUAUGAGCUCCCCUGUGUUAGAGGGCCUGCUCUCUCUCUCUCUCUCUCUCUCUCUCGCUCUCUCUCUCUCUCUCACACACACACACACACACACACACACACACACACACACACACACACACACACACACACACACACACACACACACACAGGCCUUCACAACCAGAACUCCUAAAACAUCAAAUCCAUGCCCUCCUCAAUCUGACGACGCCGAUUCGCGGAAAACCCGCAGCAGGGGUGAAUUACACUUGAAUAAAGUAUGAGAAGGACGCAUCCCCAUUUGCCAUUUCCACGUAAACUGGGUCAUCAAGCCGCCAAAGGCUAAACCAGGCUGACAAGAGCAAGCAUUCAGCCAGCAGAAACACACACACUGAGUAAUACGCCCCACCUUGACCACCAACAGCAGCCGGGUCGCUCCUGCCCGCUCCGGCACGUCUUGAACGGUCCGGCGGAGUUCAGGCUGCCUCGCCCACUGCUCGGCGGAGUCCGCCUGGGUGUGUCGCUGUCUGUGGAAAAAAUUUGCGUCCGCGCUACGGAAACGUUUGACAGCGUUUAAGUGUGUGGAGCACACAGCAGCAGCAGCAGCGGAGAAGACAGCGCAGGACUUCAGCCCCUUUUACACAACUCCUGCCCCCCCCCACCUUCUCUCUCUUUCUGUGUCUCUCUGCCUCUCUCUCUCUCUCUUU
ensembl:lncRNA